ensembl:lncRNA
AAGUGUUAUGGUUACUGCCGAGUUGCAACCUGUUUGUCGGUUCUAGCAAAGCAUUCCCUUCUCCUGUGUUUUUAUUCAUGUCGUCAUCAGCAAUUAGUCAAUGUCGACUACUUUCACAUACAGUAACCGUCAACUAAAAAUCUGAAGUUGUGCAACACCUGGCAAAACAAAAAAUGAAAUCACCAUAUAACUUUACACUAAAUCACAUAUGUAGUAUAUACUGUAUUUAGUAUUUUCUGGUCAUCUCUAAACAUUGACUAACUGUGUAAUCUAAGAAUUCAUUUUGUAAUGUUUACAAAACCAUUUAUCCCUUUUAAGGUGACUGAAAAAACAGGGGACCAAGAUGCGCCUGCUGUCUGAAGCCAGCUCUUGGACUCAAAUGCAAAAAAGCACGUGCCUCAAUUACGGGAAGAUGGAACAGUGUGUGGAAAUCAUUUCACUUUAGCAUCAACCGUUGCGAGCUACUGCUACUUGGACUCACAGCAAACGACCAUGAACUAUUAGUGUGUCUGUAGCCAUUUAUUUGAUUCUGGAAUGGGUUACUUUUAGUCCACUGUACAUUGCUUGGGACAAAGGAAUAAAUAAUUCCACAGCUACUGUGCUGUCUCUUAAAGAGAGUCGUUUAGAGUUGAUCGAGUUGCGCUGUUUGUUCACGUAGACUUAUCGUAGUUGUGCACUGAAGAAAGUUUAGAAGCAGAGCUGUUGUUUUCCACUCCUCGUUCACCUUUUCUUUCCCUGUUGAACUCGAGGGAACAUACCUCUGUUACAAACUCUCCUGUAGCACCUCAAACAUCCCAGUUGCCUGCUCCCCCCUUCUAGAUCAGUUUCAACUACACAGUCUGAAGCGGGAGACACGUCAAUUUCAACAGCGUUCUCUGGACUGGCAGCAUCAACCCCUCCCAGCUUCACUUUGCCUGCGACCCCUGCAAAUCAAGAAUCGCGACCUCCCUUUCCACGGGGGGCCUGGCUCAUCCCGGACAUACCAGCUAACGGUAACGCAUUCUCCCAGUUCUGUCCAUCGAAUGUAAAAGACUGAGAAACAACCUCAGAAUCUGAGUGAGAAAAGGAUGACAUAGCUGUCCUUGUCAUGAGAUCGCUUUUUUGCUUGCAAGCCAACUGUGUCUUUGGGAGACUUUGCAGCCUAGUAUCUUGUCUCUGCAGAGGAUCUGAUUCAUCCAUGUUCCCUGGCAGUCUCACUAAGCACCCAAUGGGAAGUCGAUGAUUACGAUGAACUGUCCCAAUUUGCCCUGGAACCACACAGGUUUAAUUUGGUACACUAGCAGGUUUCCCCUUUUUCCCCACCACAGUAUAAGGUAAGAAUCUCCACUUAUUCUGCAACUAGUGCUUACCCAUGACACCAAAACUCCUCUAUAGUACACGGUCUCCUUUCUUCAGAAUCUGUUCGACUAAUUUGUCAUGUGCUCUUGUUCCAUCCAUGACUCUUCUCAGCACCUUCUUUAGCUAACUAAAGAAGCCCUGCUUAGGUGUCCUCUCAAUUUUGUGAGGAACCGUUGAUACUGCACUUCCUCACCCCAAAACACAGAUCUAUAGACAGACGAGCUUCCCUGUCAGACAUCAGCAAAACAAGGGGAGUAGCCAGUCGCCUCAUUUCACAUGCAGUUAUAGGCAUGUAC